UCUAGAGCACUCCGAAGUAAUCUCUCUGUAUGGAUUAGGCCAUGAUCUCAUCAUCCAAACGGAUCCCUUAAGACCGAGCUAAAAGAUUAAUUAGAUAUAUAGUCACCGAUAGCGCAAAUACGUAAUCGGCUAUAGUGAAGUCAACCAAUACUCAUUGGCAAGUUUUGCAUGGGCCAGAGAGCGACUAUUCAGCGUUCCGAAAAUAAUUAGAAGUUGCGUGGGGCCAGUGCCGCGAGCACAGAGCGGUGACGGUAAAAAAGAUCAGUGAGAUAACUGAAGAGGAAUUCCUGUUUCAGCGAGGGCUUGUGGGUAACGAGUUUCUGGCUUGUUCCUAGGUCUAAAAGUAUGUGUCCGGUGAAGACGCCGAAAGGAAGAUCUCAGUGAACCUGUUUAGAAACUUCGCGUCGACGUAGAGUUGGGGGGGGUACAAAUGUUUUCGACUCCACUUAAGGUGUGCGCCAAUAUAAUUUUAAACGUGGGCCGACCUGGACGAAUAAGCUACAUUUCGCCGCAAUUCGAGUUGUGAAACACCAUUUACCUCAACUAACAUACUACGCUGAAGAACGCGUGCAAAACAUUAUUGACCAAUUUACAGUAUAACCUACAGACAGAACUGCCUUGCGGUGUUCAUCGAGCUGUCAGUUUAUUGAGCGUUUUACCAACCAGACGCGAAAUAACGGAGUCUCCAGAGCUGCCCGCCCUCGUUAAAGGGCAAACGGCAGGUAUUGACAAGUUCGUUGCCUGUACAUUCCAGCUUUGCAUCACAUACCACUGACGGACCUGGAUUGGUAACGUUAUUAUCAUGUCGUCCGGAGCGGAGAAGAGGCUGGACAACCGGCUUAAAAAGCUGGAGUCCAUGAUCAGAGACCCGAAAUCGGCGUUAAACUUGGAGAGUUUACUGGAUUCCAUGAAUGCCUUGGCACUGGAUCUCAACUAUCCAGCCCUAAGGAAAAACAAAAACAUAGACGCUUUCUUAAACAGAUAUGAGCAGGCCAUGGUGAAGAUGCGGGACCUGCAGGUCAAGCUGGAGGACUUUGACCGAAUAAAGAUGAUUGGCAGAGGGGCCUACGGAGAGGUGCAGCUGGUUCGUCACAAGGUGUCUCAGAAGGUGUACGCCAUGAAAAAGCUGAGCAAGUUCGAGAUGCUCAAACGUUCUGACUCCGCCUUCUUCUGGGAGGAGCGAGACAUCAUGGCCUUCUCCGACAGCCCCUGGGUCGUUCAGCUGUGUUGUGCGUUCCAAGACAACCGCCACCUCUACAUGGUGAUGGAGUACAUGGCAGGCGGAGACCUGGUCACCCUCACCAUGAACUAUGACAUGCCGGAGAAGUGGGUCCGUUUCUACACCGCCGAGUUGGUGCUAGCCCUGGAUGCCAUCCAUGCCAUGGGCUUCAUCCACCGUGACGUGAAACCGGACAACAUCCUCCUGGACCACAGCGGCCACCUCAAGCUGGCGGACUUCGGCACCUGCAUGAAGAUGGACUCGAAGGGCAUGGUGAAAUGUGACACGGCGGUGGGGACUCCUGACUACAUCUCCCCUGAGGUGCUCAUGUCCCAGGGGGGUGCCGGCUACUAUGGCCGCGAGUGUGACUGGUGGUCUGUGGGGGUCUUCAUCUAUGAGAUGCUGGUUGGGGAAACCCCGUUUUAUGCAGAGUCACUUGUGGGAACGUAUGGGAAGAUAAUGGAUCACAGGAAUAAUCUCCACUUCCCAGACGAUAUGGAGUUGUCCAACGACGUCAAGGACCUAAUUUGUGCCUUCCUGUCAGACCGGGAUGUGCGCCUGGGAAGGAACGGCGUGGAGGAGAUCAAGAGACACCCCUUUUUCAAGAAUGACCACUGGACCUUCUGCACCAUCCGCGAGACCGUGGCCCCAGUAGUGCCUGAGCUGAGCAGUGACAUAGACACCAGGAACUUUGACGAGAUCGAGGAUGACAAAGGCGCCGCGGAGACUUUUCCCACACCAAAGGCGUUUGUGGGCAACCAACUGCCGUUUGUGGGCUUCACCUACUUCAAGGAGGACCAACUGCUAAGGGGAGCGAAUAAAGAGCUGUCUGUGGAGGAACUGGACGGCUGUGUGGAGAGCACUGAGGAAAAAAAGGACAGCAUCAAAGGAGAGUCCGACCUGAAGAUCCGUCAACUGGAGGAGCAGUUCCGCCAUGAGAGGCAGGCCAAAAACGAACUGGAGCUCAAGUACAGGACCACGGCUAGCAGUCUAGAGAAACUGGUCAAGGAACUGGACGAAGAGAUGAGCAGCAGGCAGAGGGUGGAGUCCUCCCUGAGGCAGAUGGAGAAGGACCGGGCCCUGUUGCAGCACCAGAGCGCAGACAGCCUCCGCAGGGCGGAGCUGGAGGCCGAGAGGAAACGCAGUCUGGAGAACGAACUGAAUGGACUACGGGACCAACUAGAAGAGCUGAAGAGGAGAAACCAGAACAGUCAGGUGUCCAAUGAAAAGAACAUCCAUCUACAGCGACAGGUGGAGGAGGCCACAGCCCUACUAGUGGAGGAGCAGGAGGCCGCUGGGCGCCUGCGGAAGAGCCAGGCUGAGGCCCAGAAGCAAGCCCAGGCCCUGGAGCUCAGCCUCAGGGAGCUGGGGGACAAGUGCACCCAGCUGGAGAACACCAAGAUGAGCCUGGAGCAGCAGCUGAUGGGCCUGCAGGCUGACCUGGAGGUUGAGCGGAGGGAGCGUAGCUCGGGGGCAGAGACCAUAGUGGACCUGCAGGGUUGUAUCCAGGGUCUGGAAGAGGAGGUGAAGCAGGUGAAGGGCUCACUGUCUGAAAUGCAGACGGAGAAGAGCCAACUCCAGCAGAGACUCACUGACAUGGAGAAGGAGAAGAGCAAUCAGGAGAUCGAUCUGACGUUCAAACUCAAGUCGUUGCAACAGAGUUUGGACACUGAGGAGGCAGCACACAGGGCCUCCAAGGCACGCCUCGCAGACGAGAACAAGAUCUACGAGUCCAUCGAGGAGGCCAAGUCUGAGGCCCUGAAAGGAAUGGAACGGACGUUGCAGGAGGAGCGAAGCUCCAAGGUGCAGCUGGAGUCCCGACUGUUGCAAUUGGAGAAGGAUCACUCUAUGCUGGACUGUGACUUCAAGCAGGCCCAGCAGAAACUGGACGAGCUAGUUAUGCAAAGAGACAAACACCUAGAGGAGGUGAACAACCUGCGUCUAUGCGUGGAGCAGGAGGUGCAGGUACGCCGACUUAGCCAGAACGACUUGAAGGCCCAGGCCCAGCAGGUGACCACCCUGCGCUCCUCAGAGAAGCAGCUGAAACAGGAGCUCAACCACCUGCUGGACAUGAAGCAGAGCCUGGAGAAACAGAACAAGGAGUUGCGCAGGGAGAGACAGGAGGCUGAUGGACAGCUCAAGGAGUUGAAGGAGCAGCUGGAGGCGGAGCAGUAUUUUACGACCCUGUACAAGACCCAGAUCCGGGAGCUGAAGGAGGAGUGUGACGAACGGAACAAGCUGUAUAAGGAAGUUCACCAGAGACUGGAAGAGUAUCAGGAAGAGAGGGAUUCACUGGCGGCCCAGCUAGAGAUGAGCCUGACCAAGGCCGACUCUGAGCAGCUGGCGCGCUCCAUCGCGGAGGAGCAGUUCUCUGACCUGGAGAAGGAGAAGAUCAUGAAGGAGUUGGAGAUCAAAGACAUGAUCGCUAGACACAAACAGGACUUGGAAGACAAGGAGGCCACCAUCAGCUCCCUAGAGGAAUCCAACCGCACCCUGACAGCGGACGUAGCCAAUUUGGCCAAUGAGAAGGAGGAACUCAAUGAUCAGCUGAAGGAGACACAGCAACUGCUUCAGAGGGCCAGGGAGGAUGUGAUGGAGAUGAAUUCCAUGAAGACGUCCUUUGAGAAACAGCUGCAGACGGAGAGAACGCUGAAGAUCCAGGCCGUUAACAAGCUGGCUGAAGUCAUGAACCGGAGGGAGACAAUGCGUGUUGGUCACAGCCGCGACGACACGCUGGAUAUGCGCAGGAAGGAGAAGGAGAACCGGAAGCUACAGUUGGAACUGAAGUCUGAGAGGGACAAACUCAACUCCACCAUCUUCAAGUAUCAGAGAGAGAUCAACGACAUGCAAGCGGUGUUGUCCGAGGAGAGCCAGGUGCGCCUGGAGCUGCAGAUGGCCCUGGACAGUAAAGACAGCGACAUCGAGCAGCUCCGCUGUCAGCUGACCACCCUCAGCAUGCACUCCAUGGACUCCACCAGCGUCAGCAGUGGCGCCAACGACCUGGACCUGGACGACAGCAGUUUCCCAGUGCACAUCACUCACUCCCACACCUCAGAGUCCAUGUCCUUCCAUUAUCAGCGCACGCAGAAGUCCGUCAACAUUGCCACCAGGCCCUCCUUCAGGGCCUCUCAACCUCUCUUUGGCUCCGACUCCGAGGACGAGGAGCGGGACGAGGAAGGUUGUGAAGGAAAUGGCGGGCUGUUAGAACACGGCCGACGACCUUUGGCGCUCACCUAUGAGCAGCCGUCCCCGGAGCCAGUCCGCCACGGUGGAGAUAGCCGGCUGGAGGGCUGGUUGUCACUUCCUGCCAAGAACACCAAGAGGUUUGGCUGGGACCGAAAGUUUGUGGUGGUGAGCAGUAAGAAGAUCCUUUUCUACAACAGCGACGUCGACCGGGAGCAGUCCAACCCCUUCAUGAUCCUCGACAUCGACAAGCUGUUCCACGUCCGACCGGUCACUCAGACAGACGUGUAUCGGGCAGACAUCAGAGAUAUCCCGCGGAUAUUCCAGAUUCUGUACGCCAACGAGGGCGAGAGCAAGCGGGAGCAGGAGUUUGCGGCGGAGCUCCUGCCCCUGUCGGACUCGUCCUACGUCUCGCACAAGGGUCACGAGUUCAUCCCGACACUCUACCACCUGCCGUCCAGCUGCGAGGCGUGCACCAGGCCCCUGUGGAACGUCUUCAAGCCGCCGCCGGCAUUAGAGUGCCGCCGCUGCCACACCAAGUGCCACAAGGACCACCUGGACCGGAAAGAGGAGGUCAUCGCUCCAUGCAGGGUGAACUACGACAUGUCAAUGGCCAAAGACCUGCUCCUAUUGGCCGGUUCUCAGGAGGAGCAGCAACACUGGGUCAGCCGGCUAAUCAAACGGAUCCCGCGGAGAGGCCCCGCCCCCGCCUUACCCUCCACGGCCCCAGCCCCUGAGCCGCCCGCUCGCCCGUCCCCGCGACUCUCGCCCAACGGCUCCCCCCGCAACUCCCCCACCCUGUCCCAUCACCGCAGAGCCAUCAAGGUCCAGCCCAGCCGCCAGCAGACCCAGCCUGGGGGGAAACAGAGAUGUGCUGACAACUCAACAGGAUACCUGAUCUAAUCAAGACACCAAAUCAAUGUUGUCAAUAAUCACUGGUCCCAUGCUCAGAAUCAUCCUCCACUGACCCCCGACUCCUCACCUUUGACCCCCUCGUUCAUACUAGCAUUACUCUGGUAGACUGUGAGUAGCAUAGCCUCUAACGUCUGCAGUACCGAUGAGGUUGGUCUCCUCGCGUCGUGUGGAUUCAGACUGGAGACGGAACACCCUGGGGGACGCCCUCAUCUACUUGCCCCGUUCAGAGACACAAAGGCACUGUCUCAAAUGGCAUCAGAUCUGUACUACACUACCUUUGGCCAGGCACCAGGCUAGGAUCUAAAGUAGGGCACCAUAAAGUAAAUAGGGUGACGUUUGAGAUGUGAUCUAUUGACUAGGUUGGGAUAGAGCCUUUACGGGACAAGGGUCAGGUUAACUUUGCAUUCACGUCACCAGUGACCAGAUGUGGAACACACUGGUGUUUCUCUGAUGCCUUCUCGUUAAGUUACAUUGUAGAGUCUUCACCUUUGGCCUUACACAUGCAAACCUGGUUCCAGAGCUGUUAGGGCUCUCUUUCCAGCUCAGCUGAUGGUUCACUGUCAUACCAAUGGAAAUAUGGGAAACAAAAUACCUGGAACCAGGCUUUGAACAGUAUUCGUGUUGUACUAACUUUUGUAUAUUUCCAUGAUUUAAUGUCUUGAAGAAAAACAAUUUUUAAGGUUGCUCUAAUACAACAUGUUUUUGUAUAUUUUACAUGUUAAAUAUAAUGGUGAAAAGCAUACAGACCAAGCCAUAUCGGCUACCUUCGUCUUUACAUGCCUGCCGGUGUUUUGUUAAAUUCAGAUUGAAGGCAGUUCAAUUUAGGAAGUGAUUUCGGAAAUUAAAAGGUGUUUUCAACAUACAAAAUCUCCUUUUCGUUAACUGACAACAAAAAAAAGCCCCCCACUUUUUUUCAGUAAUUAUUGGAAUUUCUGGUCACUUCCUGGAUGGACUGCAUUCAGUGGGUGUGUAGCACGAGCCUGAGGCCUUGCUAACCUUUGCUAUGAGAUGAUUUGGUGUUAAGUAUUAGAUAUGUGAGUGAGUGAUUGAGUGUGUGUGUGUGUAUGUGUGUGUGUAUGUGUGUGUGUAUGUGUGUGUGUGUGUGUGUGUGUGUG